rnacentral:rRNA from 1 species
UACAGAGGGUGCGAGCGUUAAUCGGAAUUACUGGGCGUAAAGCGCGCGUAGGCGGCUUUGCAAGUCGGGUGUGAAAUCCCCAGGCUUAACCUGGGAACUGCAUUCGAGACUGCAUUGCUAGAGUAUGGGAGAGGGAAGUGGAAUUUCCGGUGUAGCGGUGAAACGCGUAGAUAUCGGAAGGAACAUCAGUGGCGAAAGCGACUUCCUGGACCAAUACUGACGCUCAUGUGCGAAAGCGUGGGGAGCAAACAGG